AUGGGCUUGUGGGCCUCGUUGAUGUCCACAGCGGAGACAUGGUGUGUUCGUGGGCUUAAUCAAUUUCCAUCCCUCUCGCACUGGCAGCGGGUCCAGUGUCACUUUAGGUCACCCGCAUUUCACGCCAUGGGCUGCCGCAUAAGCUGUGAGGAGGGCGAGCCGGCGGCGGCGGCGCUGGAGGACGACAACCUGCUCUCCGAGAUCCUCCUCCGCCUGCCGCCGCUCCCGUCCUCCCUCCCGCGCGCCUCCGCCGUCUGCAGGCGCUGGCGCAGCCUCAUUUCCGACCCAGCCUUCUCCCGCCGCUUCCGCCUCCACCACCGCCGCAACCCUCCACUCCUCGGCUGCUUCCGCGCAGGUGCCGACGGCCCGUCCUUCGAGCCUACUCUGGAGGCCCCAGAUCGUGUUCCGCCCGGGCGUUUUUCCUUGCAGUCCGACCUUGUCCACUUCCAGUUCCGGGUCCUCGGGUGCCGCCAUGGCCUUGUAUUAAUCCUCGACCCAACGAGGCUCCAGUUGCUGGUAUGGGCCCCCGUCACCGGCCACCAGCACAACGUAUCCAUUCCCACGGGAUUCGAUCGGCUCAAGUUGGUCCGCGGGGCGGUGCUCCGCGCUGCUCCCGGGGACGUCCACUUCCAGAUCGUCUUGGUAGUGGCAGACCACGAUGAGAUGCAACAUGGACGAGCGCUGGCCUGCGUUUACUCGUCCAAGACCGUGGCGUGGGGUAAUCCCAUCUUAACAUCGAUUCCCUCCGGGAACGAAUUUCCCACCAGGGCUUCUGGGGAUCUGGCUGUGCUGGCUGGGCAUUCCCUUUACUGGAUACUUUAUGGUAAUUUGCCAAAUAUCCUUGAGUUUGAUUUGGAGAGGGAGAGCCUGGCCGUGAUACCGUUGCCAGCAAAUAUGUUUGAUGUUCAAGGCUUCACACUCAUGCGGGCUGAGGAUGGUGAGCUGGGUUUUUUCUCCGUGUCAGGCCUCACUGCCCGGUUAUGGAAGAGGAACACCAUCUGUAAUGGUGUUCGAUCAUGGGGGAUAGUAAGAACUGUUGAAUUGGACAAGCUACUUUCCCUGGAUCCAGAGGAGCAUGUAACCAUAUAUGGGUUUGCUGAGGAUAAUAAUUUGGUGUUCCUGCGGGUCGGUAUGAGCAUCGUCUUCACUGUCCAGAUUGAGUCAUUGCGGUUCAAGAAAGUUUUCGACACCUACAAAUGGCUUUGUUAUUAUCCAUUUGAAAGUGUCUAUGCUGCAGGUAUCUAG
rnacentral:rRNA from 1 species